ensembl:lncRNA
CAUAAAUGUUACAAGACUUCCAAGUCCCCUCCCCAUGUAUUUCUUACCGUGAACGUUUGUUGAAGGCGUCAUUCAAAUCCUGAUUUGACAACUGUUUUGUCGCUCACGUUCCUGCGGCGCAACCCUGUAUCUCCUUCCCAUCUUCCAGCGAAACAAUUUCUAAGCAGCAUCGCAACACCUCUGCAAUGCACAUUAUGGACUUUACUGGAAACAUUUUAAUACAUCGAAACAUAUCAAAGAAGACAAGGGUGGCACACAUUGAAAAUACUAUUUUCUAUGUACCUUUUCCCUUCAUAGUUUAUGGAGCGAAAGCGAACUUUCAGCGAAUUUUAUGUCUUCUCCAGGCAGCCCUGACGUGGCCUCAAUGAAGAACGAGAGAGGAGCCACUUACCUGUAUCUCAAAACACUAUCUGGAUUGUGGGAGGCAGAGAACGAGAGAGGAGC